GACGAACGCUGGCGGCGUGCUUAACACAUGCAAGUCAAACGAUGAACCGGAGCUUGCUCUGGGGAUUAGUGGCGAACGGGUGAGUAACACGUGGGCAACCUGCCCCAGACACCGGGAUAACCAUUCGAAAGGAUGGCUAAUACCGGAUACGACCACUUCGGGCAUCCGAUGGUGGUGGAAAGGAUUCUGGUCUGGGAUGGGCCCGCGGCCUAUCAGCUUGUUGGUGGGGUAAUGGCCUACCAAGGCGACGACGGGUAGCCGGCCUGAGAGGGCGACCGGCCACACUGGGACUGAGACACGGCCCAGACUCCUACGGGAGGCAGCAGUGGGGAAUAUUGCGCAAUGGGCGAAAGCCUGACGCAGCGACGCCGCGUGAGGGACGAAGGUCUUCGGAUUGUAAACCUCUUUCAGCAGGGAUGAAGCGAAAGUGACAGUACCUGCAGAAGAAGCACCGGCUAACUACGUGCCAGCAGCCGCGGUAAU
rnacentral:rRNA from 1 species